UACGUAGGGUGCAAGCGUUGUCCGGAAUUAUUGGGCGUAAAGAGCUUGUAGGCGGUUUGUCGCGUCUGCUGUGAAAUUUCGGGGCUCAACCCCGAACUUGCAGUGGGUACGGGCAGACUAGAGUGUGGUAGGGGAGACUGGAAUUCCUGGUGUAGCGGUGAAAUGCGCAGAUAUCAGGAAGAACACCCGUGGCGAAGGCGGCUCUCUGGGCCGAUACUGACACUGAGGAGCGAAAGCGUGGGGAGCGAACAGG
rnacentral:rRNA from 1 species